UGACUGAGCGGCGGACGGGUGAGUAACGCGUGGGCAACCUGCCUUACACAGGGGGAUAACAGUUAGAAAUGACUGCUAAUACCGCAUAAGACCACAAAACCGCAUGGUUUGGUGGUAAAAACUCCGGUGGUGUAAGAUGGGCCCGCGUCUGAUUAGGUAGUUGGUGGGGUAACGGCCUACCAAGCCGACGAUCAGUAGCCGACCUGAGAGGGUGACCGGCCACAUUGGGACUGAGACACGGCCCAGACUCCUACGGGAGGCAGCAG
rnacentral:rRNA from 1 species